rnacentral:rRNA from 1 species
AUUGAACGCUGGCGGCAGGCCUAACACAUGCAAGUCGAGCGGAGCGGCGGACGGGUGAGUAAUGCCUAGGAAUCUGCCUGGUAGUGGGGGAUAACGUCCGGAAACGGGCGCUAAUACCGCAUACUCUCAGAUGAGCCUAUGUCGGAUUAGCUAGUUGGUGGGGUAAAGGCCUACCAAGGCGACGAUCCGUAACUGGUCGGAGAGGAUGAUCAGUCACACGGGAAGUGAGACACGGCCCAGACUCCUACGGAAGGCAGAAGUGGGGAAGAUUGGACAAUGGGCGAAAGCCGGAUCCAGCCAUGCCGCGUGGGUGAAGAAGGUCUUCGGAGUGUAAAGCACUUUGAGUAGGGAGGCGUUACCAACAGAAUAAGCACCGGCUAACUUCGUGCCAGCAGCCGCGGUAAUAC